UGGAGGGCAUGCGACUCUGGUGGGCGUCGCGGGCUUCAAACCCGUCGUUAGUGUCGGUGCCGAUUUCUAAGGGAGGUUCGAUUCCUCCGCCCUCCAGCCA
rnacentral:tRNA from 1 species